rnacentral:lncRNA from 1 species
UUUCAAAAACUAAAACCCCAUCAUCUCUAAUGAAGUUUUUAUGAACCUUAGCUAAAAUUAAAACCUCAUCUUUUGCUAUAACUUAAAAUUUUUUAAAAAUGGUGAAAUGAGAGAUACAGUAUACCACACAACACGAAAUUCGUUUUCAUUCCCUUACUGACCAGAUCUACAACUUUCACCGGAUUAGGGUUAUGGUCAGAACCCUAGAUAGGGCUACCAGAAUCUGGUCGAAACUCUAAACCCUAGGUUGGGUCACCAGAAUCUGUUGACGCUAACCAUUACCACCACAAGCCGCAGACCACCACCAUCUCUAUCGUUGCUAACCACCACCAAUUAAAACAACAGCUUGCAUCAUCUUCAACUCCUGUAACAAAACAAAUGGUACGGAUUUCAUAUUUACAGAUCCAAACAAUAAUUACCUCAACGAAAUCGGUUCAUAUCAAAAGUUUGAAACCUAGAUCUACAAUAUAAAAUUCCAAUGAAUUUGGACAAAAUCCAGAAAAGCACUUACUCCGUGAAGUUCAAAACCUAGACUUGAGUUUGAUUCCAAUGAUUUCCAUGAGGAAUUGGAGUAGUAGAAACGUGAUGGAGAAAAACCCUAGAUCCAGAUCUGGAAUCGCCGGAGAGAGAGAGGAGCAGGGAAGCGGGCAUUUUGAAAUUUGA